AACCCAUGAUGUGGACACCUUCUUGGUAACUCUUUGUAUCUCUCCCAAGCCUCGUACAAAGAUUCUGACUCUUCUUGAAUGAAUGACGUGAUGUCAUUUCUCAACUU